ensembl:snoRNA
GUGCACAGUUCAUUGGCCUGCUUUCUCUUACACAUGUGAGCAGUGUUAUUUCUCAUGUGCUAUAUAAAGAAUUGAAGGUUAAUUAGCAGUAUAACUAAAUAGUAAUGCUGCCAGUCUCCUUCAGACAGAC